GCACGCCGUCGUCCGGCUCUCACCACACCGACCUCCAUGCCGUUGUCGGGAACUCCCCCGCCACAAGAUUCUCCCGUUCAGGUAGCGGACAGUUCGCCACAAGAUUCUCCCGUGCAGAUCCUGAACGGGAGUAAGCAAAUUAGUUCCUGGAACUUCUCUGUCGGGAUGCACAUGCCAUAAGAACAACUGUAGCCGCCAUCGCCGCCGGUUAUGGAGCUCCACACCAUUGCCCAGUUGCAUGAGAGCAUGUUCAAUCUUCUCCAUUCAAUACUAUGUACAAAUGGUGAACUCUUUGGCAAACAAGAAGAUAUGAGGAUUAGGCAUAUACGCCCCAUAAGGAACGUGGAGAGAUGGUGGGCUCCAAGGAGAUAGCGAUGUUGUCGCGCUUGCAGCUUGUCGAAGGGUUAGUAGAUGAUGCUCAAUGCCAUAAACCUGCACUGAUCUUCACUCAUGUCAUCUGAUAGAAGUCUAUUGAAUUUCAAUUAACUUUUGCUGUAUGUUAUCCAUGAUGUAAGUAGAGAUAGGAAGGUCCAAAAAAAAUUGAAGCACAAGGGGGAUGGUCACAAAUGAUUUACUUGGUAAAAUGUUUGUGAAGUAUGGCAAAUUAUGACCUUAGCAAAACUUUUAUUUACAUAUAUUCAUAUAUACUUUGAAUAUUAGAA